UCCAGAAUGGGGGCGUGGGGAAAGCCUCCCCCAGGUCACACAGCAGGAGGAAGGGACGAGCCUUUUCACUAGGACAGGGACAGAACUUGAGGGAUCCGGUGGUCCCUUUUCUGCAUGCUGACCACCGGUAGCGCCCCCCUCCCGCAAACGGGGCGUGCACACGCCCAGCAGCCUAGAGAGGGGCGGUGGGGCCGGGCGGAGCCGCUGGGGCCGGGGGAAGCGGCGGGGCCCCCCCGCCCUGGGUCCUCGCUCCCCCCUCCAGCGGCGGCGGGGGAGGCGGUACGUCGCGGCGGGGCCGGGUGUAGCUCGUUCCCGAUGCCGCCGUUUGUCGCGGAGUUUGGAAGAGAUUUAUUGGCUGGCUCUUGCUAAGCCACGCUUGAGUAAUCCGAGCUGCUGCGCGCCGUGGUGAAGCCCGGAGGGGGGGAACGUCACUCCCUCUGGCACCGGAGCAACAUUAGUCUUCCAGCCCUCUAACCAUCGCUACAGCGUCGGAAACUGCCGGGUCACAGCCAUUUGCUUUGGAAAAUUGGCGAUGUUUGGUGCUAGAGAUCGAUUACCCUCGUAAUCUUUCCCCCACCUCCUCCUGCCUUACCCCACCCCUACCCGCCCCAGACAAUAGCGUCCGCGUUCCGCCGGGAAAAAAAAUAGAAAAGAAAGCAAGGAAAGAAAGAAAGAAAAAGAAAGAACUGGGGGAUGGAUCUGACUCCGAUAGGAAAAGCGUGUGUCUAGAAGUGGUGCUAAUGGGAAGAGAUUUCCGAGCUCCAGAGGACGAUGGUUUCUCACAAAGGGUAGCUGGCUCGGUGCUCGGGGCUGGAGCCGUGUAGGAGAUCCUUGGAGAAGUCCUUGUGCACAGAAAGCCGAAGAUCUGUACAAACAUGCCUGUUCGCAGAGGCCAUGUGGCACCACAAAAUACAUUUUUGGGUACAAUCAUACGAAAAUUUGAAGGGCAAAAUAAAAAAUUCAUCAUUGCUAAUGCUAGAGUGCAGAACUGUGCUAUCAUCUACUGCAAUGAUGGGUUCUGUGAGAUGACUGGGUUCUCCAGGCCAGAUGUCAUGCAGAAACCUUGCACCUGUGAUUUUCUUCAUGGACCAGAGACCAAAAGACAUCAUAUUGCACAAAUUGCUCAAGCACUGCUGGGGUCAGAGGAGAGGAAAGUGGAAGUCACCUACUAUCACAAAGAUGGUAAAGUUUGUUUUUGUUGUCAACACUUUCUGUGUAUUUCGUUAUCUGGUAAAAAUGCAUCUGGUCUGCCAGCCAUACCCUUCCCUGGAGUAGUGGUAUAAUUCCUCUGAAGUCUAGUGAAGUACACUUCAGUAUAGUAAUAAGGGAGUAUUCCUUGAAAGUAGCAGGUGCACAGAGUAUAUCAGUGUAUGCUGACUGUAACAGCUGAAUAAGGUUAGUGCUGCAACUGUUGAACAAAAGUUUUCUAGGUUUAAAUUAGAUGUAAAUUUCCUAUAGUAAACAGCCCUACAACAGUGCAAAGAUAACACGAACACAGAGCAGGAAUCCUGUGACUGUUAAUUUUUAUGAACUAUUUCAGCUCACAGAAAGUAAAAAUGAUGUAUGAGUUUCAGCUCUUAAUUCUGCCAGCCUCACACAAUGCAAUUGCAUGAUUUAAAUGCGGUAUUUUACUUGGAAAAACACAAUGGGCUUGAAAGUAGCAAAAAAACCUGACCUAUAAUGAAGAAAUUAUCAGCUUAUAAAGAAAAGGACAUGUCCUUCUCAAAGAUGAGACACUGUGAAUUUGGAGUAUCUAUAUUUGAAUCACAGAAGUCGUCCUAGAAUUAUGUUGGCAUAGUAAAAAAAUUGCAAUGGUUAAACUAUGAAGAGCGUUCCUGGUUUUUGGUAAAGAUAUGGAAUCUGUUAACAAUAUUGCUGAUGUAAGGAUGAGUGGCUAAAUAUGCCUUGCUGAUGCUUUCUUCCUAUUAAGAGAGCAUGGAAUGAAUAAAUGACUGUAUUUGCUGAUCAAAAAAUGCACGCACAUGAAAACUAACUAUGAUACCUUGUAGUUAUGUGUAGGCUUUUCUUUCUUUUUCUCAUUACCCAGUGUUAUUUACAGAAACAUCUGCCCUUCAAGCAAAUCCAAAUAAUGAAUGUGUGGUGUACCUUACUCUGUCUCUUGCUCAGUAUGUGCUAUUGAGAGAAGGAAAAGGAAAUUCAUAUUCAAAUGCUGAGCUUAAAUUAGUUCUGGAGAAAUGCCAGCGUUUUGUUUGCAUCAAUUUUAGAAUCACAUGCAAAGGAUGCUCUCAUAUUUUAAAGUCACAGAGUUAAACCAUAUUCUUAGUAAUUCUGCUGCUAUCUUGGAGAGUCUUAGUAUUAUUUUUAGCUUGGGCAGGUAUAAUUCAGAUAGGACUCAGGCCACUCACUCUGCCCACGCUACCAAUACUUAAUGAAUGUUCUUCUUAACAUAUUCUCAUCAGAGUCCUUUAUUCUUAGAUCUGGUUAGGUGGUCUGUAGUAGAUUUUGCUCAAGACUGAUUGUUGUAGUUGUGCCUUGAACAUAGAUUUAUCAAGAGACCUGCCACUGUGUGUCUACAUACAUCUAGUCUGUGUGUUAACUUGGCGUGUGUUAAAAAUAAUAUUGCAAAAGCAGAAUGUCAUUGCUAACUUUCACAGCCACAAGCCUGGAGCAUUGUUUUGAGAUCUGGUUGUUUAAUAGUGCUUCAGUCUUCCAUAAUACUGAGGGAUAGGGAAGGUGCUAUUUAUCCAUCGGUUAACCUUAAUAUGUAUUUUUCUAAAAAUGAUGAGUCUUGGCAUCAUACAACACACUAUAAUCAAUUUGAGGCAAGUCAAAGCAAAACUGCCCACAAAAACUGCCAUGCCCUUUGUAAAUAUUUUUGAGUUUUGAAGUACAUUAUAAAUGGAUUAUUCAGUGUAAACAAUUUAAUGCAUAAGAGUUUUCAGUAACUUCCCUUCUGUGAAAAGUUAAUUUAAAUUGAAGGAUUUAAAGAAGUGUAUGUUCAAAGGCUAGGGAAUUUCAAAAAGCUAUGGAUAAUAUUUCUAGACACAUUCUUGAAAAAUUUACUGGUCAAAAUGUGAAACUCAUUUAUUGUGCACUAUAUGCACUGCUAAAUUUAAACAAAUACAAAUGGUUUUUAAACAAUUAAAUUUCAUUCAAAAUACUGAGUCACUGAUUAUAGGUAAAAAUUGACAAGAUACAAGAUAGGUCUGGCACUCAAAUUCAUAACUCCCUGACAGCUUGAUCAUUUGUAUAUAUAGAUUUUUCUGUUUGGUACACAUGAUGUUCAAUUUCUGUAGAAAAUGUGAGAAAAAGUUCUUAAGCUUGUGUGGUGUUAUGAAAUUUAAAUUGCUUGUGCGAUGGAUAUAAUAAAUUUUGGUAAGC